ensembl:lncRNA
UUUAAGCCACAUGCAAGUCAUCCCAGCCUAACCCAGCCCACUUAAAGAAGGCUCUUCAGUGAAUAAAUAGCCCUGGCUGGGAGACGGUGGGUAGGAGAUCGCAGCUUUACUUCUGGUUCAGAUGCUAACUUACUGUGGGCUUUGGACAAAUCACCUCACCACUCAGCUUCGUCACUGUAAAAGAUGUGUCUCCUAUACGGUACAGUUCUGAGCUGAUAGAUGGAGAAAUCAUUGAUUCCAGUUGUGGCGACCUAGAAAGAGCUAAAGGAAGAAACUGAGACAGAAGGGCUGGUGGUACAUGCUGCAUCAGUGUGUGAACUUCCUUGCUACUAAACCGCAUUGACAUAGGCAGCAGGCAGGAUACAAAGCAGUGCCAGUUCCUCCCUGCUCCUGUUCCAGAUGGCUUCCAUAAUUACUUUUUGCAGAUAUGGUAACGGAACUUCAGGAUGUAAGUCAACAACAAAACGCAGCAGAUAAUAUAAGGAGAAGGAAACUGUAAAUUUGUUGAGUUUCUGAAAACACAAGACUGGCAUGAACCAAGCUUUCAGCUGGACUCCAGUAAAGUAUAUCUGAAGUCUCGAUUCAUGUUGAAUGGUAAAUGGAACCCUGGAGUUUCUUGUGUUUUAUUGUGGUUAGUAAACAUAAGUUUUGGGAAUCAUUUUCUUAAAGUUGAAGCCCAGCGUUACACAGCCAACAACACUGCCCAAUAAGCACCUCUCCCAAGAGAGAUCUUUUAUCUUCAUUCCCUUGACUGAGGAUGUUCUCUGAUUUUAUGGCAGCGUUAUCUGUUUAAAUGUAUGAACAACUUGGGAGUAAUCAUGCUUCUCAAGAAACAAUGAUGCAUCUGGAUGAGAAGUUGGGCUCACAAACUUCUCCCUCCUCAUUUCUACUGAGACGUCACUUGAGUUUCUUUCACCUCAGCUCCUCCAAGGCACUGCUGCUGAUUCAUAAGCCUUGAAGGAACAAUUCUCCCUCCAGAAUGGUAAAACCAAGGCUGAGCUAAAGGAGAUGAAAAUGAAGAUUUGAGGCAAGGAUAGAUUGCAAACUUCCAAAGGCGGAGACAACAGCUGUCUUAUUCAGAGUUCUGUCCCCCUUCUGCAGCUUCAACUGGUCAAAGUCCAGGAGACCUUAACUUCUGCCGGAAAGGAAAAACUCCUUUCAGUUUUCACUCUGUUAGUUAUGGAUCCUGGAUUUGUAGCCGUGGACCUCAGGCUGGCCACAGAGAAGUUCACAGCUCCAUUAGGCCCUUCCCAUCAACGCCUUUCUCUAGACUGUGCUUGGUAAUUGCUUGUCCUGGGAGAGCCUUCAGCUGUCCUGGGCAGAGUUGGAGCAGGAGAUCGCCCACAGCUGUAGGAUGUUCUACCUUCCCCUGGUCCUGCUUGUUCCUUUCUUUUGAAGGGACAUGUACACACCCCCACCUAUGGGUUGACCACAAUUGGAGAGAUACAGAUGGAGAACUCUCGUGGGGUAAGUAACCUGAGACUCAAAGAGGCUGAUUAAAUUCCCCGAGGACAUACAGCAAGCUACUGGCAGAGCUGAGAUCCCUCUCUGAUCUUCAGACUCCCAAUUGGAGGCUCUUUCCGUUCCAUCAUCCCGACUAUAGAAGGGAGAUUACAGACAGAAAAUUCUGUGGAGACACAAUUUUCAGAGAGGAGGGUGGUGAGGUCCUGAGGUGGCCUCUUCUCUUCUGAAGAGUGGAAGGAAAUAUGGUCAGAGGGAGGGGGAAGAAACUCUUAGUGGGCAAAAACUCCAUGCAUCAGUUACUGAGAAAUACCUCGGGUUCUCAGUCUACUCUGAGCUAAGUGAGCCCCGGAGACAGCUGAAGCCCUGCAAGAGAACACUCAAAGGGGGUCCUUUGGAACUCUUGCAACAUCUCCCUUCUCUGGCCUGUGAAUUAUGUCCCAGAGAAAUCACAGCAGGGGCAGCCAAGGUGGGAAGAGAAUAUUCCACCUUCCAACUCUAUGAGCAAAUGCCAAUUUGUCACUCCAGUCAGUCUAAUGACUAUGUUGACUAAGUCUGUGUCCAUUUGGGGGUUUCUUGAUUUGCUACUGGGCCUCUAACCAGCUGUGGGCCCUAGGGUGCAAUUGCAAA